GACGAACGCUGGCGGCGUGCCUAACACAUGCAAGUCGAGCGAUGAAGCUUCCUUCGGGAAGUGGAUUAGCGGCGGACGGGUGAGUAACACGUGAGCAACCUGCCUCAAAGAGGGGGAUAGCCUCCCGAAAGGGAGAUUAAUACCGCAUAAUAUCAGAGUUUCGCAUGAUUUUCUGAUUAAAGGAGUAAUCCACUUUGAGAUGGGCUCGCGGCGCAUUAGCUAGUUGGUGAGGUAACGGCUCACCAAGGCGACGAUGCGUAGCCGACCUGAGAGGGUGAUCGGCCACAUUGGGACUGAGACACGGCCCAGACUCCUACGGGAGGCAGCAGUGGGGAAUAUUGCGCAAUGGACGAAAGUCUGACGCAGCAACGCCGCGUGGGUGAUGAAGGUCUUCGGAUUGUAAAGCCCUGUCUUCGAGGACGAUAAUGACGGUACUCGAGGAGGAAGCCACGGCUAACUACG
rnacentral:rRNA from 1 species